rnacentral:rRNA from 1 species
UACGAAGGGUGCAAGCGUUACUCGGAAUUACUGAGCGUAAAGCGUGCGUAGGUGGUUUGUUAAGUCUGUUGUGAAAGCCCCGGGCUCAACCUGGGAAUGGCAAUGGAUACUGGCAAGCUAGAGUGCGGUAGAGGGUAGUGGAAUUCCCGGUGUAGCGGUGAAAUGCGUAGAGAUCGGGAGGAACACCAGUGGCGAAGGCGGCUACCUGGACCAGCACUGACACUGAGGCACGAAAGCGUGGGGAGCAAACAGG